CAGUCGCCGCGGAAUACGUAGGGUGCGAGCGUUAAUCGGAAUUACUGGGCGUAAAGCGUGCGCAGGCGGUUGUGUAAGACAGGUGUGAAAUCCCCGGGCUUAACCUGGGAACUGCGCUUGUGACUGCACAGCUAGAGUAUGGCAGAGGGGGGUGGAAUUCCACGUGUAGCAGUGAAAUGCGUAGAGAUGUGGAGGAACACCGAUGGCGAAGGCAGCCCCCUGGGCCAAUACUGACGCUCAUGACGAAAGCGUGGGGAGCAAACAGGAUUAGAUACCCCUGUAGUCCCUGUCUCUUAUACAC
rnacentral:rRNA from 1 species